UGGGGAAUUUUGGACAAUGGGGGCAACCCUGAUCCAGCAAUGCCGCGUGAGUGAAGAAGGCCUUCGGGUUGUAAAGCUCUUUUGUCAGGGAAGAAACAGCAGCUCUAACACAGUCUGCGAAUGACGGUACCUGAAGAAUAAGCACCGGCUAACUACGUGCCAGCAGCCGCGGUAAUACGUAGGGUGCAAGCGUUAAUCGGAAUUACUGGGCGUAAAGCGUGCGCAGGCGGUUAUGUAAGACAGGCGUGAAAUCCCCGGGCUUAACCUGGGAAUUGCGCUUGUGACUGCAUAGCUAGAGUAUGUCAGAGGGGGGUAGAAUUCCACGUGUAGCAGUGAAAUGCGUAGAGAUGUGGAGGAAUACCAAUGGCGAAGGCAGCCCCCUGGGAUAAUACUGACGCUCAUGCACGAAAGCGUGGGGAGCAAACAGGAUUAGAUACCCUGGUAGUCCACGCCCUAAACGAUGCUGACUAGUUGUUCGGGAAUUUAUUCCUGAGUAACGUAGCUAACGCGUGAAGUCAGCCGCCUGGGGAGUACGGUCGCAAGAUUA
rnacentral:rRNA from 1 species